rnacentral:snRNA from 1 species
GUAGCUGGUUCCCUCCGAAG